rnacentral:rRNA from 1 species
AUUGAACGCUGGCGGCAGGCUUAACACAUGCAAGUCGAACGAUGAUUAUCUAGCUUGCUAGAUAUGAUUAGUGGCGGACGGGUGAGUAACAUUUAGGAAUCUGCCUAGUAGUGGGGGAUAGCUCGGGGAAACUCGAAUUAAUACCGCAUACGACCUACGGGUGAAAGGGGGCGCAAGCUCUUGCUAUUAGAUGAGCCUAAAUCAGAUUAGCUAGUUGGUGGGGUAAAGGCCCACCAAGGCGACGAUCUGUAACUGGUCUGAGAGGAUGAUCAGUCACACCGGAACUGAGACACGGUCCGGACUCCUACGGGAGGCAGCAGUGGGGAAUAUUGGACAAUGGGGGCAACCCUGAUCCAGCCAUGCCGCGUGUGUGAAGAAGGCCUUUCGGUUGUAAAGCACUUUAAGCAGGGAGGAGAGGCUAAUGGUUAAUACCCAUUAGAUUAGACGUUACCUGCAGAAUAAGCACCGGCUAACUCUGUGCCAGCAGCCGCGGUAAUACAGAGGGUGCGAGCGUUAAUCGGAAUUACUGGGCGUAAAGCGAGUGUAGGUGGCUCAUUAAGUCACAUGUGAAAUCCCCGGGCUUAACCUGGGAACUGCAUGUGAUACUGGUGGUGCUAGAAUAUGUGAGAGGGGAAGUAGAAUUCCCAGGUGUAGCGGUGAAAUGCGUAGAGAUCUGGAGGAAUACCGAUGGCGAAGGCAGCUUCCUGGCAUAAUAUUGACACUGAGAUUCGAAAGCGUGGGUAGCAAACAGGAUUAGAUACCCUGGUAGUCCACGCCGUAAACGAUGUCUACUAGCCGUUGGGGUCCUUGAGACUUUAGUGGCGCAGUUAACGCGAUAAGUAGACCGCCUGGGGAGUACGGCCGCAAGGUUAAAACUCAAAUGAAUUGACGGGGGCCCGCACAAGCGGUGGAGCAUGUGGUUUAAUUCGAUGCAACGCGAAGAACCUUACCUGGUCUUGACAUAGUGAGAAUCCUGCAGAGAUGCGGGAGUGCCUUCGGGAAUUCACAUACAGGUGCUGCAUGGCUGUCGUCAGCUCGUGUCGUGAGAUGUUGGGUUAAGUCCCGCAACGAGCGCAACCCUUUUCCUUAUUUGCCAGCGGGUUAAGCCGGGAACUUUAAGGAUACUGCCAGUGACAAACUGGAGGAAGGCGGGGACGACGUCAAGUCAUCAUGGCCCUUACGACCAGGGCUACACACGUGCUACAAUGGUAGGUACAGAGGGUUGCUACACAGCGAUGUGAUGCUAAUCUCAAAAAGCCUAUCGUAGUCCGGAUUGGAGUCUGCAACUCGACUCCAUGAAGUCGGAAUCGCUAGUAAUCGCAGAUCAGAAUGCUGCGGUGAAUACGUUCCCGGGCCU